GACGAACGCUGGCGGCGUGCCUAAUACAUGCAAGUAGAACGCACAGUUUAUACCGUAGCUUGCUACACCAUAAACUGUGAGUUGCGAACGGGUGAGUAACGCGUAGGUAACCUGCCUGGUAGCGGGGGAUAACUAUUGGAAACGAUAGCUAAUACCGCAUAAUAUUGAUUAUUGCAUGAUAAUUGAUUGAAAGAUGCUAUUGCAUCACUACCAGAUGGACCUGCGUUGUAUUAGCUAGUAGGUGAGGUAACGGCUCACCUAGGCGACGAUACAUAGCCGACCGGAGAGGGUGAGCGGCCACACUGGGACUGAGACACGGCCCAGACUCCUACGGGAGGCAGCAGUAGGGAAUCUUCGGCAAUGGACGAAAGUCUGACCGAGCAACGCCGCGUGAGUGAAGAAGGUUGUCGGAUCGUAAAGCUCUGUUGUAAGAGAAGAACGGGUGUGAGAGUGGAAAGUUCACACUGUGACGGUAUCUUACCAGAAAGGGACGGCUAACUACGUG
rnacentral:rRNA from 1 species